UAUACAUCCAUCUAACCUGCGACUCUGUCACAACUCUGAUCAGCAAUUCUUUCAGGUUUGUCUGUUUUGAUGAUGCUAUUAAUUGUUAUUAUCCUUUAUCCAGGUAACUUUCAGAGAGGAGCGGAGGGAGGAGCGAAGCCAGCGUGCUCUGUAAACUCUCAUUAAAAAAAAGAUAAGUACAUAUUGAUUUUAUAUUAUUAUGACAGCUCCUCCUCAGUGAACACUUCCUCUAGUUGCUGAAAUCAUUUACUAAUUUUUUUCUUCCCAUUUGUCUUUUGUUUUUCAGAGAAAACAGAGAGGAGACAAGGUGACAUUAAGACCUAAGACAGGACGGAUUGAACCCUUUCUCGUAAAAAGAUAAGUAUUCACUCUGCUUUUAAUCAGAAUAUUGAUAAAUAUCUAAAAUUCUGCUCACCUGGUUGAUAAAGUUACUAAAACGAUUCCCUCUUUACUGUCAUUUGUCCUUUAGAGAGAAGAUGAGGAGAGUGAACGUCAGCAAGAAUGAACAAAGUGGAAAAAGAGCCAAGAUGAGAAGAAACUCCACACAGAAGAUGUUCCCUCAGUAAAAUGGAGAAGAGCAGCAACGACACUGGGAGACAAACAACAGGAUGAUCCAAAGACAACUGAG